UACGGAGGGAGCAAGCGUUACUCGGAAUUAUUGGGCGUAAAGGGCGCGUAGGCGAUCCUGUAAGUCUCGCGUGAAGUCCCAGGGCUUAACCCUGGAAUGGCAAGAGAAACUGCUGGAAUUGAGUUCCGGAGAGGAAGGCAGAAUUCCCGGUGUAGCGGUGAAAUGCGUAGAUAUCGGGAGGAAUACCAGUGGCGAAGGCGGCCUUCUGGACGGAUACUGACGCUGAGGCGCGAAAGCCCAGGGGA
rnacentral:rRNA from 1 species